UGGAACUGUGAAACAGAAAGAUAACAAUGUUACGUUAAAAGGUGUAAACAAUUGUCGAGAGUUUAUUCAAGGUACAUUUCCCAACUGAAUAACGUUGUGGCAAGUAAAGAAGCAAAAUAACAAGUAAUCCUUUCCCACCGUAUGUUUACAAAGCUAUGGAACCGCGAAGAAACAGUUGGAAAUCUUCUUCAUCUCACGAAAGAAUUAGAAGAGUACAAACUCUUGGGGUAGUUAAAGGGAAGCUUUUUUUUUCGCAGUGCGCAUUCACUAAAGGCAACAUCUUGUCAGAUGAAAAGGUGGAUAUUUACGAGGAAGCUGCAGGAUAAAGGAGAACCUAGCCAAGGGCGAUGCUCCAGACGUCGCUUCUUAAAAUAAACUAACAUGUGCUAUAUCUAAUACUUUCGUGUUUAAAGUGUUCCUUUUCUUAGUCAAAUAUUGCAAUGAUAUUCAUUUUGCAAUGAAUAAGUGAAAUGGAUUCUAUACGUUUGUUUACUUUUAUUAUUAUCAAAAUCGAAAUCAGAAAUAUAUAAUUAAAAAACUAAGAUUUAUAAAAUUAAGGAAACUUUAUCAAUCGAUACUUAAGAUAAAAAAAUUGAAUGAUCUUCAUUCCGUUUAUCCAUCAUCAUCCACCGAUAUGAUUUCUGCACUCGAAAUCACAAGACCAAUAUAUUUAAUAAAAUCAAUAAAUCAUCAAUAGAAAUCCUGAAAAAAAAUGUAUCUAUCAAUUAUAGAAUAAACAUACCGAAAAUAA